GCGCCAGUAGCUCAGUGGUAGAGCCUCCCCCUUGCAUGAGGGGAGACAUGGGUUCGAUUCCCGGCUGCUUCC
rnacentral:tRNA from 1 species